rnacentral:lncRNA from 1 species
GGAUAGAUUACUUUAGGCUGAGUGAGGUGGCUUUUGAGUUCCUACUAGAAGGGUGUGUAGGAUUGUGACUAGAAGAGAGAGGAAGGUCUGGAUGGAGCAACAAGAGUCUGGGCUAUUAACACAGGUUUGAGUCAGGCUGACCGGAGCUGUAAAGCCCUUCUCGUUCUCACUGUGUGUUCUUUUCAGUUCUGUCUUCCUGAGGCUGCUGUUUCUGGGCAUGGCCAGGGGAUCUUCAGACUUUACAAACCAGUUGUGCAGAGCCAGGCAUUUCAAUAAGGAACAAAAUGCUGAGUAACAACAUGAAGUCAGAGUGUUGCUUGCCAAGAGCUGGGAGGCCUGGGUGGUUUCCCAAUCUUAAAGAAGCAGAAGGAUAUUAAAGUGAGCCUCCCAAAGGAAAACGUGGAUCUACUUACCAACGCAGAAAAUGAUACACACGGAUUCGAUUUAGGCACGCUACAUUCAAAUGACUUGGAAGAGCAGGUUCUCUGAGCCAGGAUACUAAAGUCCCUGUUUAGGAAAGAGCCACGUUGUAUGUUUACCCUACCACAAAGAUACAGUCAUGUGCCUGGGAAAGAUUGAUGCCAGCUCCAGAAAGGCAUCCGAAUGGUCUAAGUAAUGCCAUCCAUCUGUCAGUAAUAGAUUCAGAAAUGGAAUUCUGGAGGAAAGUGGCUCUGGGAAUUGAACAGUGGCUCAGUGAUGUUGGGGCCACCAAGUCUGCAAUUCUCCCUACCUGUUCUUCAUGGUUGUAAGAUGACUGCUGCAAUUCUCGGCAUCAUGUGCAUGUUAAUGUCAGGAGGAAGAAAGGAAGAGGGAGCACUGGGAUGUUACAUUCAUUUUGUCAGGAAAAGCAAAGCCUUUCCAGACAGCUCCGAAACUUGCUUACCUCUCAUUGGCCAGCACCAUCACUUGACCACUUGUCCACUCCUAGCUGCAAGGAAAGUGGCAAAGUAGAAGGUAUUUGAGAAUGUCUGCUGGGUUAGCCAAAACAAUAGUGACUUCUACACCCAAUUUUCUGGGCACUGCAGAAGUAUCCUUGAGUCCUAUGUGAUCAGAGGGAGAGCAAACCUCAAUAAUGAAACAGAUUCAAUUUCCAUCACCCAGUGAGACACCAUGGGAUUAGAAUAAAUUUUUAAAAAAACAAAUUGAAAAAAAUGCAUUUUUAAAACAACAAAAUCAGAAAGGAUGAAAGGUGAUAUUUCUAGCAUAUCAGUUUGUGGUGGUAAAUUAAUUACCUUAUACAAAGGCCUCAGUGACUUUCUUCUCCUUACCUAACGAAUCAUCUUUAAAAUAAGUAAAAUAAAGAAACAAGAGCAGCAGCAGAUGCUUCCUAAAAAGAAGUUACCAAAUCUGUUCACCACAAACCUGAGAAUUCAACUGUGGACAUUUGGACACCAGCAAUGAACAUGAAACUCAGCUUAUGAGGCAUAUUUGGCUAAAGGUCAAGGUGACUUAAAGUUCAUCAUAGGACAUCUACAAUUUGCAAAGCAGGUGACUGGAUAUGGACUCCUUCCAAGUCUCAUUUAAUUGGAUAAUGCCUACGUUUUAAGUAUCAGAAGUGAGUCUUUCUCUAUUAAAUGAAGUCAGUUCCACUAAAACCUAAAUCUUGUUUGGCAGGCACUCCAUGUUUCUUAAUUUUUAUUCCAUGCUGUAUAUUCUUUUAGACUUGAUUUUCACUUUUUUUUCUUUUUUCCUGUACAUUUAUCUUUGCUGUGAAACAAAGUGCCCUGCUUUGAAGGACAGGUUUGUGGGCUGCUGGUGGUGAGACAACAGCAGUCCUUCCAAGUCUUCCUCCCAUCACUCUGUUAGCUCUCCCUUUGUUUUUAAUUAGCAUUACACCAGUUAAUUCUGUUAUCUCUUAACCCUGGUUCUGCAUCCUCUUCUUCUUUUCUAUUCCUUACUCCGCUCCUGUUUUUUCUUGUUCUGCUUUUCCAAGAAAUGUCUUGUCUCCUCAUCAGUUGACUGUCUUCUCUUUCCAGAGGGACCAUAAAGGUGCCAGCCUAAGGAACACGUAAAACGUGGGAACAGACAAACAAGCUGCUGCCUAUUACAGAGAUAGAUAAUUAACUUUGGACCAUUACAUGCAAUUCAUCAGCUUAUCUUUUUCAAACUUUAUAUAAGAAGUCAUUUCCCAAUGGUAACCACUUGCCAGCUGCAACUUUGACGCAUAUUAUCAGGAUAGGUGAGAUUGAUGGGGGCCCUUUGAACUCUUCCCAGGGAAUUAUCUUUAUAAUGUUACAGUUUUCUCUAUAGCAUGGUCAUAUUGUUAACAUUGGUUAUAAGGUCAUAUGGUUAGUAUGGUUAGUAUUGGUGGCUCACAGCUGUAAUACCAGCACUUUGGGAGGCCAAGGUGGGAGGAUCACUUGAGCCCUGGUGUUCAAAACCAGCUCUGGAAACAUAGCAAGACCUUGUCUCUACAAAAAAAAAUUAAAUAAAUUAAAAGAUUAGCUGGGCAUGGUGGCACAUGCCUGUAGUCCUCACUACUUGGGAAACUAAGGUGGGAGGAUCCUUUGAGCUUGGGAGGUUGAGGCUGCAGUGAGCUGUGGUUGUGCCAUGGCACUCCAGCCUGGGUGACAGAGUGAGAGCCUGUCUCAAAAAAAAAAAAAAAAAAAAAAAAAAGUACCUGUAAGGUCUUUGGGAUUUUGAAGAUGAAAGGUGUUGCAUAAAUUGAAUGAAUUCACUUAGAGAGAUAGAAGGCAACUACAGGGAAUAUUACGUACAUCAUGGAGCGGAAAGCACUAAGGCCUGUGGAAUUAUUCUCAGUGACACGUCGUUGAGGGCAGUGGUCCACAUGUUUUGAACAUGGUUUCUCCCAGGUGAAAAGGAUGAGUAAUUUGUUCUCCUUCACAUGUGUGUAUGUAGGUCUUAUACACAGCAGAUUUGCCACAAAACAAAUGAAGAUUACACUUUGGGCCCCUCUCUCACAUGAGCCCCUUCCAAAGUUCUGUUUGCUAAUUUUACAUUUUGUAAUUUCUUAUUAUUUUUCUUAAAGAAGCCUCCUCCAAUUGCAUAAACUUCAAGCCUCACAAAAUUUGGAUCCAUACCUGAGCCAACAUACAAUACAAUUUUCCAUUUCUAACUUUUAGUUGUACCUAGUGUUUUAUUGGAAAUGAUCAAGUACAUGAGUGGUGUCUUUUUAAAAAAUUUACUUUAUUUGCUUCUCUAGCUUCAUCGUUAGUUAGGCAGUUAAAUCUAACCAUUUGGAGGUAUUUUCAUAUAACCUCCAUUGAGGACAAUUUGGCAAUAGCUUUUAAAAUUAUAAAUAUAUUUGUACAGUUAUAAGCUGCCAUAUCUAUAAAACUAUUUGAUAGACAAAAGUUGAAAACCCUCCAAGAGCUCAUCAAUAAAAGAUUAAAUUAAUUAUGAUACAUCCAUAUGAGCACUGAGCAGCUGUGAAAAAAAUGAGGAAGUAAUUCCUGUGCUGAUAUGGGAAGACUUCCAAGACAUGUUGUUAAGUACAGAAUGGUGUAUACAGUAUGCUAUAUAGUGUGGUAAAAGGUUUAGGGAUAAGCAUUUAUAUUUAUAACUGUUUAUAUUUACAUAAAGUAAUUCUGAAAGGAUACAAAAAAGCUAACAAAAGAGAUUACCUGUGGUAGUGUGGGGCUUGGGGAUUGGAUGGGUGAGAAACAGUAGUGGAAAUGAGAUAUUGUACAGUUUAAGGCAUUAUACACCUAUAAAAACAUGGGAAUGUAUUACCUACUCAAAAAGUGAAAUUAAGAGAGAUACAAGAAACUGUUUGGAUGUUCCUUCCCGUUUCAAUGUAUCUAUAUUUUUUCAGCCCUCAAAGUUAUUAUAAAUGUCAUUAUAAUAACUUCAUAAAGCUUCCCCUAUAAUGAGAAUCUUACCAUUCUCCUAACUCCAAUAGCACUGUAAUCCACCUCUGUUAGGACACAUCACUCUUCAUCAUGUGUGAUUAUUAUUUGCAGAUAUCAUCUUCAAGGCUCUUCUCUAUUUACCACCUGCCAUUCUUGUUCUCACCUCUACAUGACCUUCACAUUUUAUUUCUCUCGGUUUUUUGGACAAGCUACAUUCCCUUCCACAGAGAAGGCUUCCCUGACCCCUUUCACUUGGUUGGAUUACCUUGCUAUUCUUUUCUAUCUUUGUACAUUCCUUUUCAAAAUACUUAUCUCCCUUGUUGUUACCUAUAAUGUCUGUCUUCUUUACUCAAGAGUCUAGACAAAAAGCUCCACGCCAGCCUCGGCUGUGUUUGUAUUGUUUACGUCUGUGUUCCUAGUGCUUAAUAAAAUACCUAGCAAGGGUUAAUAAGUACUUGUUGACUGGAAGGGAAUGACUUCCUUCCCUUACUAGAGAGUGAUUUCCUUACAGGCGAGAUGUGUCAACCUUCUAUAGCCCACAUAAAAUAAAGGACAAUAUCUCCUAUUGGAUAAAAGACAAGAAUUUACAUAUGAGUUUUGUCAUUUACCAUACCAGCUCUGGGAUCUUAACUUUUUAGCCUCUCUGGGCUUCAGAGCUCUCAUCUACAUUAAGUUUUUCAUUCAUUCUGUCAUUCAAUAAAUAUUUAUGGAAUGCUUAGCAUGUGCCACUAGUCUAGCAACUGUGGAUACUGAAGUACGCAAGGCAGAAUAGUACUUGCUAUCUGAAGCACACGGUUUAAUUGGGGUGGGGAAAGAGUUGGUGGGGAGGGUCUCAUUAAACAUAUAAGCCAAAUAAACCAAAAUUACAGGUAGAGUUAAGGCCAUGGCAGAGCAACUGAAGGUGAUGAAUUCAGAGAGGCCAGGAAGGGACCCUCUGAAGCGAUCAUAUCUGAACUGAGUUUUUGAGUCAACUAAAUGAGAUAGUGUCUGUGAAUGUCUUAGAAUCAUGUCUGGCAUGUAAUAAGUGUCAUAAAUGAUAAGUAUUACUAUUUAUAAAAACUUGUCAAAAAAUGAACCAAAAAUACAAGCAGCUUGUCUUUCACAUAUAAAAUACUAUAGUUGCAACAUGUAUAUGUCUUUGUAUAGUGAGAAAGCAUAUUGUAUGUAUAUUAUAUUUCAUUUGAGUAAGUUAUUUUUUAACUGAAGGAAUCUCCUAUUUUGGUUCUGAAAUAGUUAACGUUCCUUUUAAGUAGUCUCAUUUAUACCUUGAGAGUGAUUUAAUUACCCACAGCAUCUGUUUAACAUUGUACUCACAGAGAAAUCACAGAAACGUAUGCAACAUUGGUUGUUCCUAAGUAGAUUCAAUGUUCUCUAAGGUCUCAUUAACCUGUAAGUUCUCACAUGUUUGUUACAUCUGAGCUAAUGAAGAAAUAGCCAGGGGUAAGGAACUGAGAAAGAGACUAUGGCUGUCUCAACACAAACCCAUUCCAGGACUGUAAAAAAUAUCUGACAAGUCAUAUCUUCCCAGUGUGGUAGUAAAAUCACUGGAGUGUAUUGGAUGGUAUAAGCAACUGAAGAGGAUUAAGAAUGGCCUCUGUGGCUGGGCACAGAGGUUCACGCUUGUAAUCUCAGAACAUUGGGAGGCUUAGGUGGGAGAAUCACUUGAACUCAGGAGUCUGAGACCAGCUUGGGCAACAUAGGAAGACCCCCACCUCUACAAAAAAAAAUUAAAAAUUAGCUGGGUCUCGUGGUGCACGUCUGUGGUCCCAGCUACUCAAGAGGCUGAGGUGGGAG